rnacentral:rRNA from 1 species
UGAGUAACACGUGAGUAACCUGCCUUAGACAUUGGGAUAGCCUCGGGAAACCGGGAUUAAUACCAAAUAAAAUCAUAAUGACACAUGUCAUAACGAUCAAAACUCCGGUGGUCUAAGAUGGACUCGCGUCCCAUUAGCUAGUUGGUAGAGUAAAAGCCUACCAAGGCGACGAUGGGUAGCCGGCCUGAGAGGGUGAACGGCCACAUUGGAACUGAGAAACGGUCCAA